GAUGAACGCUGGCGGCGUGCCUAAUACAUGCAAGUCGAGCGAACAGACGAGGAGCUUGCUCCUCUGAUGUUAGUGGCGGACGGGUGAGUAACACGUGGAUAACCUACCUAUAAGACUGGGAUAACUUCGGGAAACCGGAGCUAAUACCGGAUAACAUGUUGAACCGCAUGGUUCAACAGUGAAAGACGGUCUUGCUGUCACUUAUAGAUGGAUCCGCGCCGCAUUAGCUAGUUGGUAAGGUAACGGCUUACCAAGGCAACGAUGCGUAGCCGACCUGAGAGGGUGAUCGGCCACACUGGAACUGAGACACGGUCCAGACUCCUACGGGAGGCAGCAGUAGGGAAUCUUCCGCAAAGGGCGAAAGCCUGACGGAGCAACGCCGCGUGAGUGAAGAAGGUCUUCGGAUCGUAAAACUCUGUUAUUAGGGAAGAACAAAUGUGUAAGUAACUAUGCACGUCUUGACGGUACCUAAUCAGAAAGCCACGGCUAACUACGUG
rnacentral:rRNA from 1 species